GAGUGACCCAAUAGCAUACCUUUCCCUUUCCUUAUUAUCUUUUCCCCCCAUGCCCUGGCCACUAAGCCUGUUUUCUUUCCUUGGCACUUUUUCUGAAGCUUUCCUGGCCUCUUGCAGACCUCUAUUGACAAAGGCAUAGCUUUCUCUCUCCCUUUUCUCUGCCUCCUUCAUCAGGCAGCCGCUAAGACUGACAGCUUGUCACUUAACCUCAAGCUCUCUUUUUUUUUUAAUUGAGUCAUACCUGCCAGGAGCGGCUGGGUCCCUAGUCCCGAGUGACUGGCCUUCACUCACCAACUGGUCCGUCCUGUGUCCUCUGAGUCUUGGUGUGUGACGGGAAGACAGCUAACAUCCAAGGUCUUCUCCACCAGAAGCCACUAGCUCUGCAAAGGAUGCUCUUUCCCUUUCUCUCUCCACCCUUGUGGCGCUGGGACACACACCGAAAGUGUAUGUGGCUGGUUUGAGGAGCCGCUGCUCCUUCUUCCUGCACCCAGACAAGAACUCCUUAUUGAGCAUAUUGAGCAAGAAAUCAACAGAAACCUGUCUCAAACUGGACAAUGUCAAAGGCUCUUUCUACUGCUGGCAAAUCAGUAGCACCAUUCUUAGAGGAACUUGGAAUGAAUGCACGUCAGGCACACCAAUAGGAAAACACCGAUGAAGUCAUUCUUGUCACAAGUAAAGGACAUGGUUCAGAAAGUGUCCUCCUGGCAGCUGUAGCUUGUGGUUCAAUGAGAUCUUUGCUGUGUUCCUUUGAGAGUUCCCCUCGUGGGACCAUGGCUCCACUUAGGACUGUCCCUGAACGUGACAGAAAUGCUACUGCACAUUUGUAGUGAUCCUCACAGUGAGCUUGGACUAUAGACUAGCUGGACAAGAGCAGUGGAGACUUGUGGGUGGUCUGGUUCAGGAACAUCUUCUCAGAUAGCUUCCUGUAUCCUCGGGCUCAUCUUUUAUGUACCCUUCCUGUCUUCUGAUAGACUGACGCUGGGGUCAUUCAAAUGAUUUAUGAGUCUCCCAGGACCUGGCUCUCAGUGAGUCUCAAGGUCAAAUGUUGCCUCUGCAUCUGCUGUUGAUGCUAUGUCUUCUGUCCAGUCCCAGGUAGAGGCUUAUGUCACACCUCCUCUCACAGUUGACACUACCAGUGCCACAGAAGUUUCUCCUGGAGGGGACCCAUUGACCACCUCUAGGCUGUGACAACACCACCCUUCCUUUAUGACCCCCAGAUCUUCUUGACCCCAGCUCUCCUCUGGCCUCAUAUACAACCCUUCGCAGCCUUGUCUUUCCAGGAGCAGAAGUCUCAUCUUUGGCCCUUAUAUGUACUGUUGGUAGCUAAACUGUGCCCCUUAAAAAGGCAUAGUUACUAUAUAACUAACCUGCAAGGCAGAAUGUGCCCACUGGUGCAAUAGUAGCAAGCCUGUUACAAGGUUAACUGCUUUCUGAUUGAAAUCGAGGCCCGUGUCACAGAAACUAAUUCAUAUCUACUAUCAUAAACACAGUCAAAAGCCCAUGCUGGGGAAAUCACGGUCCUAGAAGAUCAGCUACUGCUGUUGUUUUGCUAAAUGGACUUUAUGGGCUCAUCAGAUCACCUUCUUAAGAACCAUGUUCAUCUCCACAGAUGGGUAUUGCUGCUAGAUUAGUGGAAAAAGGCAAUGGUUACUGCAGAGACUCUCACAACUGGUCAAAGUGCUGAGAAUGAAUGACUAUUGAAUGCUCAACCAUAACCGAGGCAUCUAUGUUGCCCUCUCAAUGCUCAUGGGGCUCACAGAAGAGAAAGCAGAAUGGAUGUAAGAGCAUGUGAAUGGGGUGGAGUAUUGUGGCUGCUUUCCGUAAACGGCAUGACCAAUAACUUUAGGACAUAUUUUUAUUUUUAAUCGUGCGUAUCUGUGUGUGGGUGUGUGCAGGUGAGUGCAGGUGCAGACACCCUGAAUCUGGGGUCAUAAGUCAGUUGCGAACCACCCGAUAUUGGUGCUGAGAGAAAUAUGAGCUCUUAACCAUUGUGCCACCUCCCCAGCCUGGCUGUUGCGCUCUUCUGCUCACAACCGCGGUGAGGACCUGCACAGGACCUGCACAAGACUAGGCUGCUAUGGGGCUGGGAGUAUAGCUCAGUGGUAGAGACCACGCUUACUUAGCAAGCUCAAGGUUCUGGGUUUGAUGUCAGAACCAACCAACUCACCACAAACCCCACCACCAAAUAAUGCCAACCCAUGGCACAGUGGAAGAUCUUUUUCACAUGUCCUUUGACAUGUGUGUGCAUGCAGGCGUGUGUGGGCAGGGUGGGGAGCUCAUGUGUGAAGGUCAGCUUGCAUGUGAGUGUGGGUACUGUCUGUGGUCCCAGCAUGUGUGUGCAUGCAGGCGUGUGUAGACAGGGCGGGGGGCUCACGUGUGAAGGUCAGCUUGCAUGUGAGUGUGGGUACUGUCUGUGGUCCCAGCAUGUGUGUGCAUGCAGGCGUGUGUAGACAGGGCGGGGGGCUCACGUGUGAAGGUCAGCUUGCAUGUGAGUGUGGGUACUGUCUGUGGUCCCAGCACCCACCCUGCACAGCCAUGUUUGAUUUACGGCCAUAUCUCACCUCGCUCCAUGAAAGGACUCAGGCAAUGGCUGCUUCCACUGUCUGCCAGGUUUUUUCUGUUAGACUGCUGUGGGAAUGACUUGAUUGCCUGUGGCAAGAGCCAAGUCAGCCGGGGCUCAGACCUCAGAGUCUGGUACACAGCACGCCCUGACAUGAGACGUCUAGGGCCCCCAGGGAUAGGCACCACAGCUUUGUGAAUACAAGUCUACUGACACUCGGCUAUCCAGGAUCAACUUGCAAACGUCUCCUGACUCCAGAAGACUCACAAGUCCUUGGCCUUCAAGGACAAGCCCUUAGCAUCUGACCAGCCAGGUCAAAGCUCUGGGAGUGCCUGGGAACAGGAUGGUGGUAGGGGUGGAAUUGGGCAGAUCUCCAGAUUUAAACACAUCUAAGCCCCAAAUGCUUCUAGUCCUUCAGCAGCUCUCAGGAACAACAAAUGGAGGGGAAGGUUUUGUCACGUGACAGCUACACACAGAGGGGAGUCACAAGGACCAUGGCAACCAUCAAUCAAAGGCAAUUUGCAGCCUGUGUUUCAACAGCACCAUUGCUGCCAUGAGCUUGAAGGUUUAGUUUUAAUUAGGGCAAAGUGGCUCAUCUCCAAGCUAGGCCUGGGAAUUACCAGGCUCUCACAACACAUCGUGUAGUUUGGCAAAGUGGCUUCUGGGGAGCUUUGGAGUGAUGGGGCUGCUUAAGGCCGGCUGUGCUGUGCACUGUCCCACUGGCCUGUUCCUGCGGAAGCCUCUGCAGGGAUCAUUCUGACCUGGGAUGCAGAUGCCAGGGCACCAAAAAUAAUGUCCUGGGACAGGACCACAGAACCCAGAAGCCCUCUCCCCUCCUUCUCUUCUCUCCAUAUGGCUCCCUUCCUUUCCUGUUUUUCUUACAGAGUCUCAUGUUAUAUGGCCUGGGCUGACCUGGAACUCCUUACAUAGUCCAGGCCGAUUUAGAACUUUGCAAUCCUCGUGUGUGUGUGUGUGUGUGUGUGUGUGUGUGUGUGUGUGUGUGUGUGUGUGUGCAUGAAGUAUAAUUUUUUUCUGAGACAGGGUCUUGUGUAGCAAAGGCUAGCCUGGAACUCAUCUGCCUCCAAAGAGGAAGGCACUAAGUCCAGAGGUCAAGAAGCAUGCACAGGUCUUGGAGUCACAACUAAGCGCUCAGAGCCACCACUCAGACUGCUACCAGCUUCUGUGGAAAACACUGUAUCUCCUGCUGUCGAGGCCAGACGGCUCUGGUCACAUCCCCUGCCCAGCACAGUGCAGACGCUACAUGUCCAGCUUCCUCCUUGCCCGGUGAACAUCCACUAUGUGUGUCUGUCCACUUCUGAUUGGAGGAGGACGUGUAGGAGCCAUGGUUGUAGAGGCAAAGCCUUCUGUGAGCACGAGGGGCGACACUCCUCAAAUGUAAGUUGCCUCUGUAUCUGGAAAGCUGUACAUAAGGCACUCCAGCCAGCCCGUUCUCAGUGCCACAGUCAUGAGAAAGCACACUGCCUGGGAGCCACA